GGUUGAGUCAAAAGAAAAAGAAAGUUGUUCAUUGGGUGAGUGAUGUGAGGGGUUUAUUUUGAUUUUGAGAUGAUGAUAAAGAGGGUAGAACUUGAGAUUACUUAUAACAAAAGGGAGUAGAAUGAUGAGAAUGAAUCUAUGUAUGCAUGAGUUGCUUCUAAUCUUAGAUAAAUUUUGCAUAAUGAUCAAGCUCCUUGUUUUGAGUGAUAACCACUUUUAAAUGAAAACAUUUGAACCCCUCUCUUCAUUCAUAUUAGACCAUUGCUUACCUAGCCAAAUGAUUGAGAUCAUAUGCCCAUUUGUGAGAAUUCACCUUGUGUGUGUAUGUGAAUCAAUGUGAGAGCUGGUUGAAAGAACUUUUUGGUGAUGAGUAUUGCAACUUGAGUAGAGGCAAAAGGGUAUGGAUAGGCCUAGAGAAGCUAGAGUAUAAUAAGGAAGAUGUUCAUGCUAUUUGUUAUGUUUCUUUAGGAUGUUAAGUUGAGUGCUAGGAAGUGUUACUUUUGGCUAUGAGUUCCCACCUUCAAACUUCUCUCCUUUAUGAGUUCUUACAAAGUCACUUGAGGA
rnacentral:lncRNA from 1 species